GGGAGUUUGGCCGAGUGGUUAAGGCGUCGUGUUUAGGUCUUCGCAAGAACACCUUGUAACCCGCGAUGGGAAACCGCGCAGGUUCGAAUCCUGCAGCUCUCA